rnacentral:rRNA from 1 species
GGGAGGUAGUGACAAUAAAUAACAAUACAGGGCCCAUUCGGGUCUUGUAAUUGGAAUGAGUACAAUUUAAAUCUCUUAACGAGGAACAAUUGGAGGGCAAGUCUGGUGCCAGCAGCCGCGGUAAUUCCAGCUCCAAUAGCGUAUAUUAAAGUUGUUGCAGUUAAAAAGCUCGUAGUUGAAUUUUAGGCCUGGCCGGAUGGUCCGUCUUUGGCGAGUACUGUUCUGUCGUCGGGUCUAUCCUUCUGGUGAGCCGGGAUGCCCUUUAUUGGGUGUGUCGGGGAACCAGGACCAUUACCUUGAAAAAAUUAGAGUGUUUAAAGCGGGCAUUUGCUUGAAUAGAUUAGCAUGGAAUAAUAGAAUAGGACGUUGGUUCUAUUUUGUUGGUUUUAGGACCACCGUAAUGAUUAAUAGGGAUAGUUGGG